GGACAGAAAGACCCUAUGAAGCUUUACUAUAGCUUGGAAUUGGGUUCGGGCUUUAAUUGCGCAGUAUAGGUGGGAGGCUUUGAAGAUAUUCUUGAGGGAAUAUUGGAGCCAUCAGUGAGAUACCACUCUUGUAAUGUUAGAUUUCUAACUUUGUAUCAUUAUCUGGUCAAAGAACAGUUUCAGGCGGGCAGUUUGACUGGGGCGGUCGCCUCCUAAACGGUAACGGAGGCGCACAAAGGUUUCCUCUGAACGGGUAGAAAUCGUAUCUAGAGUGUAAAGGCAUAAGGAAGCUUGACUGUGAGACCUACAAGUCGAGCAGGGACGAAAGUCGGUCUUAGUGAUCUGACGGUGCUGAGUGGAAAGGCCGUCACUCAACGGAUAAAAGUUACUCUAGGGAUAACAGGCUGA
rnacentral:rRNA from 1 species